UCUGUCCUCUGUUCUACCGGCGUCGGUCUGGUUCUGAGUCUUCGUUUUGGUUGUGAUUGCUCACAAAUCUGAAAGGGAUGUUUGUGCUUCCGCCGAAGAUUCUAGCAGCACAUUGAUGAAAAACGGAGCCAAAAGGUUGCAUAAGGUUGAUUCCAACGGAGCCAAAACGGAGCCAAAACAGAGCUUGAUUCCAACGAUUGAUUUCCGAUUGUGGGUUUGGUUGUGGGUCUGAUUUUAUUUUCGGAUUGUGAUCGGCGUGGGCGUAGGCCUUUGGGUUGUGGGUCUGGUUUUUUUUUUCCCUUUUUGGUUCGCUUCCUCUCUGUUCUAUCGGCGUCCUCUGGUUGUUUUUGUCUCCGUUUUGGUUGCGAUUUCUGAUUGUGGGUCUGGUUGUGGGUCUGCUCUUUGAAUCAAUUCUUGGCGCAACAACUUUGUGAGUGGACUUCCGGUUUCGUGAAAGAGGCCCUGGUGAAAUCUGUGCACGAGAAUCACGACAGGAAUAGCUCACCGUACAGAACAAGCAGUCUCCAUAUCUAUUUAGAGCAUGGACUCAAGGAGUUAUUCAUCAUUCAUUGAUCUCGUACGGGGGAAUAUUAAUCUUGAGGAUGAAAUUUUCGAUGUAUCUGAAAGUAGUCCCCUGUUAGUCGAAGAUUCUCCAGUGAAUGAUGAAGUUG